ensembl:miRNA mdo-mir-7292 mdo-mir-7292
AAGGAAGGGCCUCACUUUCAAGCUUCUAUAUCCUUGUAGCUGCUAGGAGUUCCUUCCUUCU